rnacentral:rRNA from 1 species
UGGGGAAUAUUGGACAAUGGGGGAAACCCUGAUCCAGCGACGCCGCGUGAGUGAAGAAGUAUUUCGGUAUGUAAAGCUCUGUCAGCAGGGAAGAAAAUGACGGUACCUGACUAAGAAGCCCCGGCUAACUACGUGCCAGCAGCCGCGGUAAUACGUAGGGGGCAAGCGUUAUCCGGAUUUACUGGGUGUAAAGGGAGCGCAGACGGCGAAGCAAGUCUGAAGUGAAAUGCAUGGGCUCAACCCAUGAAUUGCUUUGGAAACUGUUUGGCUUGAGUGUCGGAGGGGUAAGCGGAAUUCCUAGUGUAGCGGUGAAAUGCGUAGAUAUUAGGAGGAACACCGGAGGCGAAGGCGGCUUACUGGACGACAACUGACGUUGAGGCUCGAAGGCGUGGGGAGCAAACAGGAUUAGAUACCCUGGUAGUCCACGCAGUAAACGAUGAAUACUUGGUGUCGGGGAGGUAAACUUUUCGGUGCCGCAAGCAAACGCAUUAAGUAUUCCACCUGGGGAGUACGUUCGCAAGAAUG